AAUGAACGUUGGCGGCGUGGAUUAGGCAUGCAAGUCGAGCGGAAAGGCCCCUUCGGGGGUACUCGAGCGGCGAAAGGGAGAGUAACGCGUGGAUAUCUGCCUCCAGGACCGGGAUAGCGGCGGGAAACUGCCGGUAAUACCGGAUAAUGUCUCCGGACCAAAUGGGACUGCCGCCUGGAGAGGGGUCCGCGUCCUAUUAGCUUGUUGGUGGGGUAAUGGCUCACCAAGGCUGUGAUGGGUACCGGGUGUGAGAGCAUGGCCCGGCUCACUGGGGCUGAGACACUGCCCAGACACCUACGGGCGGCUGCAGUCGAGAAUCUUCGGCAAUGGGCGCAAGCCUGACCGAGCGACGCCGCGUGCGGGAUGAAGGCCUUCGGGUUGUAAACCGCUGUCAGAGGGGAGGAAAUCCAGGGGGCCCACUCCCUGGUUGACCUAGCCUCAGAGGAAGGACGGGCUAAGUUCGUG
rnacentral:rRNA from 1 species